rnacentral:rRNA from 1 species
AUUGAACGCUGGCGGCAUGCCUUACACAUGCAAGUCGAACGGCAGCACGGGGGCAACCCUGGUGGCGAGUGGCGAACGGGUGAGUAAUACAUCGGAACGUGUCCUGUCGUGGGGGAUAACCAGUCGAAAGACUGGCUAAUACCGCAUGAGAUCGAGAGAUGAAAGCAGGGGACCGCAAGGCCUUGCGCGAUUGGAGCGGCCGAUGUCGGAUUAGCUAGUUGGCGGGUAAAAGCCCACCAAGGCGACGAUCCGUAGCUGGUUUGAGAGAACGACCAGCCACACUGGGACUGAGACACGGCCCAGACUCCUACGGGAGCAGCAGUGGGGAAUUUUGGACAAUGGGGGCAACCCUGAUCCAGCCAUGCCGCGUGUGUGAAGAAGGCCUCGGGUUGUAAAGCGACUUCGUACGGAACGAAAUACGCGCGGGUGAAGU